rnacentral:sRNA from 1 species
AAAAUAUGAUUAUAUUUUUUUGUUGAUUUUAAUGUUCAUUUUGAUAAAUUCAUCUAUUUAAUAUAAUAAUUAUUUUUUAUGAUUAAAUUCAUCUAUAACUCGAACUAUCAAUUCUAGUACAAUAUUAAUAUUUAUAUAUUUAUUAUUCUAAUAUUUCACUAUCAUGAUCACAUACAACAACAAUAUAUGAUAUAUUGAUACGAUAUAUGUAGUUAUAUUACUUAUGUGUUUUGAAAUUUGUCUAACUUAUUGUAACAAACAAUUAUUUAUUCCAUAUAUUCUCUCGUCAUCUAGUACACAAUCACAUCAUGAUAUGCUAGUAAUUUAAGUCAACAUUUUAAUUCUCAUCCCUACUAUAUAGUCAUAUAGAGUCUCGUUUUUUUUUUUGUAUGUCUAAUGUUUUGGAUAACUAUUACGUGAAAAAAUUGUAUAUCAAUGUUACAAAGUUAUCAGAACUCACAAAAAUGUACAGAAAGAAGGUCAUAUGAUAAAUCAAAUUUACAAAACGUAAUAAUAAAAAAA